rnacentral:lncRNA from 1 species
UUUUUUUUUUUUUUGCUUUUUAAAAGUAAUAAAUUUUUCUUUUGCUUUUCUGUUAUAUAAAAAGAAUAACGAAAAUAUAAAAUCAAGGGCAAAUUAGGAAUUUUACUUUAAAAUAUGGCUGCCGUCAGUCAAUUUUAACAGAGCUGACGUCACUAGACACCAUUCUUUAGUCGGGUUAAGAAUGUGAGAUACUGUUUUGAUGUUUUAUAAAGUUGAGAUACCAAAGUUUUGUUUCUUUAAAAGGUUAGACACUAUUUGGACUAUUCUUCCAAUUGUAUUUAUAGUGCACUUCCAAUUUUUGUACACAUUUUUAGCCUUGUCGUCCAACCACUUCCACAUGAGCUUAUCAUCAACAUCAAACUCAUAAAAGAUCUGUUAAAAAAUGAACAACAUUAUUUAUCUCAUAAUUCUACAACUAAUUAAGCAUUGAGUGAACACAUGAACAGCAGAAAAAGUCCUUACAAAGAGUUUAGUGGGCAGCUUCUUUUGCUCAUCAUCGGUAGUGUCACCCCAAGUUAGAGCCACCAUGGAAAUUUCAUCCCAUAUAAUGUGGCCGACAUCGUGUGUCAACAUGCUGCUUAACUUUUUACUCUUCGGACCGUGGCAGAAAUCGUCCCAAGUUACUUUAAUCUUUUGUCCAGUCCUCUUGACUAUCUCCUCUGCUUUUAAGCCUUUUACCACCCUUGUCUUGGUUUUAGGGGGAGGUGCUGCAAAAAAAAAAAAAGUUUCUGUCAAAACCAAAUGCAAAAGAAACAAACGAUCAAUAAGUGAAGAGACCGGUGCAAUAUGAAAACAUGUUUGGUAGGUCAAGAUGUAGUUCAUGCAACAAAAAAAGAUGGAUACGUUGCAAUAUGUGAAGCACCAGUUAUGAAUUUAUGAACUACUUUGAUGCAUAUUCUAAUCUCUUUUUCCACAUUUUAUAAAUCAAUAUACCAAAGUUAAAUAUCCUAUAGCUUAGACACUCUCUCUUAAGCCUAUGUCUAAGUAAGUCCACAAUGUGCAUAACAGAGCAAAAAGUAAAAUAGAAUAAGAGAAGAACCAAGCAAUUCCAUAUAAGAUGACACCACAUGUAGCGGAUAACAAAUGACAGUAGCCUUAUCCAAAAUUUAUUCCAAAAUAUGCAUGUUAAAAUCCAUGAAAUUGCAUUAAGAAUGCAUAAAAUGCAGUUUUGUUACAAAACCACUAGGGAACUUGGUUUUUAUUUCCACUGAUUCUCAUUCACCAAUCACACAAGUCGAGGUCUCCUAGGGAUAACAGAAUUGAGCAGCUACCGUUUCUAAAUGAAUUUGCCGAUAACCAACACCACCUCAAUGUAUAAAAAUAUUAAUGCAUACAAGAACCAACGCCAUGAUCUACAAUAUCAUAGCUAUCCCCCCGAUCAAAGCAUAUUAAUUUCUAAAGCUUAAGAUCUAACACUGGCUAAAAGCUCACUGACUCCUACACAAGCAAAACAAAAUCCUUCCGAAAUAUACACAUAAUCCAUGAACACCAUCCUAAUAAAACGCAAUUUGGUGUUAUCAUCAAAAACAUGACUUUAUGAUAAUAAUAACAAGGGACAACAAUACUCAGAAACCAAUAUCCAAACCAAUACUCAUUCCAAACCAAUAUCCAAAAUUUACUCAUUCCAAGACUCAUUCACUACACAAAACCUAGAAACCAAUAUCCAAAAUUUACUACACCCAACUAGAAAAUCAAAAGGUUAAGAGGCAGAGAUGAGUAUAGGUGAGGAAAAUUACCUCCUUCAGGAUGCGGUUUGCGCCGAACACUGAUCUUGGCAGAUGACUGGCCAGUCCAAUGAUCAUCUGGGGAAGGUUCGUCAACAUCGGGCAGUGGUGGAGGGAGAGGAGGAGCCGAACUUGACGGAGGCGCCAUAGGCCGCGAGGGGACCUCUGUGGGGCGUCGAUAUUGCUGGGCUACCUCCUGCAUCAGUCGCUGAGACUGUUCCGCCUGUCUCUUCCUCUUCCCACUAGUCGGCAGCAUAGUGGAUGGAUGUGGCGCAAGGGAGGAGACGGCUUGGAAUCGAAGGAGGAGACGGCGAUGUGGAGGAGGAGGAUACGAUCGAUUUAGGGAUUUCAGAGUUAAGACUCGUUACCCGGCCUCUAUCUGGGUUUACAAACCAAACUCAGCCCACGAAUGAAGCCUUUUCGUCAUUUAAGUGAAAUCAAAAAUUUGGCCCAAAAAAUUGGCGGAAUUUACGACCCGCCAAAUAUUAAGUAGUUAGGUGACGAAUACAUGAACUUUUGUCAUCUCAGUGAACCAAAAAUAUUUCUACCAUCUUCAAAUUUUGGGACUUAGUUGACGAAAACCUAAAAAUUAAGGUUUUCAUAGAAGUUUUGGAAAUAAUGAGGUAUCUCCUAAAAAGAAAUAGUUUUGAUACAAGGAUUUUUCUUUUUUUCCUAAAAAAUACAUUUGACAAUACAAUACAAAUGUCAUUAAAGAAAUUAUAAAUUAAAGAGUGAUAUAUAUAGAACAUAUGGCGAUAGAGAUUGAAGAACAGAUCGAUCGAAAUAAGUCCAAACCCGGUUUGCUCUAGAUUUGGCAUUCGGUGUCCGAUUGACUAUUAUGAUGCCUUUCUGGAAGCGGAACGGCCCAACGAAUCAAACUCGUCACUUUGCCACGAUGUAUGGGCUUUUUAGGCCAUCCGAGUCCGUUUAGGCUUUCAAAAUGCAGAUUUACUUAUUUUCAGGCAUUAUUUUUAAUAGUUUGUUUUGGAUUUGGUUUUCUUUUAAUCCAUGGGCUUUUAGGCUUUGAUGUUAGUUGCCCUUAGGGUUUAUUUACUCCUAUAUAAGGAGCCUUUAUCAAAAGUUGUAAUCGUCAACUUUCAUAUUAAUAAAAAACCUUGAGUUUAAAGUAUUACACACUCAAUUUAUGUCAUAUUAAAAAAUAUCAUUCAUUAAAAGAAAUUAACAUAAGCCAGACAUCAUUGACAUCAUAAUCCUCAUCCUCUGUAUCAUCGUCCUCUUCGUAUUCGUCUUUGUCUUCCUCUUCAUCCUCCUCAUAAUGCGGCUCUUCAUCUUCGCUCUCAUCUUCAUCCUCCUCAUUGUCAACAUGUGGAACUUGAGAUCCAGGAAUUGUAAUGAACGCAUUCCCGUGUACAUAGUGGGGGUCAUUGUUGAUGCGAAUAGUCUGUGUAUCUGGAAUAUAACUGCUUAACUCUUCUUGAUAUGGUUCUGGCACCUCUUCUUCAUCACAUGCUCCUUCUGCAUCCCCUUCAAGCGUAGAUGCACUCCAUAUGUUUCGGUGCAUGAGACAUCACAUUUACCACUUUCCAAUCCCCACCCUCUUUCGGAUCAUCAAGAUAAAAUACUUGUUUUGCCAUGGUGGUAAGAAUAAACGGCUCACUCACAUACCAGCUUGUGGAUGUAUUCACUGAUAAAAAUCCAUGAUCCAUCUUUGUACUCCUCGGUAAACUUGGGUCAGUGUUGAACCAUUUACACUUGAACAACACGACUGGCAUACCAGCUCCAUAUAAUAAUUCGACAACAGAGAGUAUGAUCCUGUAGUAGCAAAUUUCAUUGUAACACCCUGACCCAGGUGUUAGGAAAAAUAAACGAAUAAAAUAACUAAGAAAAUCCUAAAUCAAAACGGUGGUAGGACCUCAAAACAAAAAAAAUGUUUGUUGUGUUUGGAACCUAAAUUUAUUUUGUUAAUUUGCGGCUGCACCCAAAACUUGAUUGAGCUGCCUACUUCCCUUUUUAAAGGGAUCAAACCACUCGUAGUUCAUCAUUUUAUACUAAUUCUCCACCUUCAAUAACAACUUUAUCGAAUCUGAAAUUUGUGUGGAUGUAAGUCCUCAAAUUGAUAAGGACACCCAAGUUCUCAAUCCCACACUUCCUCUCACUUCCUCCGAUAGUUUCCUAAUUACAUACCAUGCUCGCUCAUAUUAACUUCAUUGUCACAUUCCAAUUCACCUUUAGACUUGCUCAUAUCAACACUUCAAUUAUUAACCUAUCUCUGAUUUUACUAUAGACACCCAUAACCACCACUCAUCAACUUUCCUAACAUUAUACUAAAUCCAAAUUUAAGUAUAAUCACUACCACCACCAUUGUGAACACCGAAUACUCCUUUCCUAAUUUCACACAGUCCUUAACUCCAUGCUUUCAUCAAGAUAAUGAACUCACCAUCACAACCCCAUCUUCUUCUUGUUGACCAACAACUUAACCAAAUUAACAAGGAAUAAAAUAAAUGAAUCCAGUACAGCAACUUCAAACUUCCUCCACAACCCAACUAUUCUAAUUCCAAAAACAUGUCUAUUAUGAUCAGCACACCCUGCAAAUGAUCCUAAUUCUUCAAUUCACAGCAGCUGAAGUUAAACACAACAACACCAUAGUCACCACCGUGAAUAGUUACUUCAUUGCUGGAAUCCCACUAUUUCCAAAUUCUCAAAUUCAUGGAACUCCAACAUAUAUAGCAGUCAUAAUCAUACACACAGAUUCAUAACUACUGAAAAUAAUCACACACAGAAGAACCAAGAAUACUGCAGUAAACGAUGUCUGCCAUCUCCACAAAUUGACCAAUUCCAAAAACAUCAUAAUCAUCAAUUUAAUUUCAAAAAGAAGUUCCAUAAAACCAAUGAACUAAGGCAGCCCAAAAUCACCACCACCGCCGCCGUGCACAGCGGCACUCACGGCGGUCCUCCUCUGCCAAAAACCCAACUUCCUCCAAACUUCAACCAAUCUCAAUUCCAAUUAUAUAAAAAAGGUAGAGCUCGACGAGAUGAUCAAGUUUCAUACCUCACUUAUCUUCGCCGGUGGCCGGAAAGCAUCAAACCCUCGCAAGAAAAUCCCAAAACUUCUUCUCUUCGA